rnacentral:rRNA from 1 species
GAGUUUGAUCUUGGCUCAGAUUGAACGCUGGCGGCAUGCUUUACACAUGCAAGUCGAACGGCAGCACGGGAGCUUGCUCCUGGUGGCGAGUGGCGAACGGGUGAGUAAUGCAUCGGAACGUAUCCUGGAGUGGGGGAUAACGUAGCGAAAGUUACGCUAAUACCGCAUAUUCUGUGAGCAGGAAAGCGGGGGACCUUCGGGCCUCGCGCUCUUGGAGCGGCCGAUGUCGGAUUAGCUAGUUGGUGAGGUAAAGGCUCACCAAGGCGACGAUCCGUAGCAGGUCUGAGAGGAUGAUCUGCCACACUGGAACUGAGACACGGUCCAGACUCCUACGGGAGGCAGCAGUGGGGAAUUUUGGACAAUGGGGGCAACCCUGAUCCAGCCAUGCCGCGUGAGUGAAGAAGGCCUCGGUUGUAA